rnacentral:rRNA from 1 species
GACGAACGCUGGCGGCGUGCCUAAUACAUGCAAGUCGAACGCAGUGGGGACGGGUGAGUAACACGUGGGUAACCUCCCCUCAGAGGAGAUAACACUUGAAAACAGGUGCUAAACCGAUACUGAUGGAUGGACCCGCGGUGCAUUAGCUAGUUGGUGAGGUAACGGCUCACCAAGGCCACGAUGCAUAGCCAACCUGGGAGGGUGAUCGGCAACACUGGGACUGAGACACGGCCCAGACUCAGACGGGAGGCAGCAGUAGGGAAUAUUCGGCAAUGGACGAAAGUCUGACCGAGCAACGCCGAGUGAGUGAAGAAGGUUUUCGGAUCGUGAAACUCUGUUGUUAGAGAAGCGGUAUCUAGCCAGAAAGCCAGGGCUAACUACGUGCGAGCAGCCGCGGUAGUUC